rnacentral:misc_RNA from 1 species
AAGUCGUAACAAGGUUUCCGUAGGUGAACCUGCGGAAGGAUCAUUAAUAACGUAUCCACGUUUUUAAAACCCUUAAACCAACCCGUGAACGUUUGUGCGAGGUCAAACUCGUGCAGACAUUUUCUUACUCCCUUUUUAAACCAAAACACAUUGUACUCUACAACUUGUCUGAACAACGAAGAUUGAAGGAAUGCAGUUUAACCGCUGUGUUUUGAAUAUCUUUGCUUUAUUGCAAAAACUUAAAAACAACUCUUAGCAACGGAUAUCUUGGUUCUC